rnacentral:rRNA from 1 species
UCUGGUGAUUAUAGCGGCGGGGUCACACCUCUUCCCAUUCCGAACAGAGAAGUUAAGCCUGCCAGCGCUAAUGAUACCAUGUGGGUAACUGCACGGGAAAGUAGGUCGUCGCCAGAU